rnacentral:rRNA from 1 species
UACGAAGGGGGCUAGCGUUGUUCGGAAUUACUGGGCGUAAAGCGCGCGUAGGCGGCUUUGCAAGUCGAGUGUGAAAUCCCCAGGCUCAACCUGGGAACUGCAUUCGAGACUGCAUAGCUAGAGUAUGGGAGAGGGAAGUGGAAUUUCAGGUGUAGCGGUGAAAUGCGUAGAUAUCUGAAGGAACAUCAGUGGCGAAAAGCGACUUCCUGGACCAAUACUGACGCUCAUGUGCGAAAAGCGUGGGGAGCAAACAGG